GACGAACGCUGGCGGCGUGCCUAAUACAUGCAAGUCGAGCGAGUCUGCCUUGAAGAUCGGAGUGCUUGAACCCUGUGAAACAAGAUACAGGCUAGCGGCGGACGGGUGAGUAAGACGUGGGUAACCUGCCCAAGGGAUCGGGAUAACACCUGGAAAAAGAUGCUAAUACCGGUUAACAACAGAUGAUGCCUAUCAACUGUUUAAAAGAUGGUUCUGCUAUCACGCUUGGAUGGACCUGCGGUGCGUUAGCUAGUGGGUAGGGUAACGGCCUACCAAGGAGAUGAUGCAUACCCGAGUUGAGAGGCUGAUCGGCCACAUUGGAAUUGGUACACGGCCCAAACUCCUACGGGAGGCAGCAGUGGGGAAUCUUCCACAAUGGACGAAAGUCUGAUGGAGCAACGCCGCGUGAGUGAAGAAGGGUUUCGGCUCGUAAAGCUCUGUUGUUGGUGAAGAAGGACAGGGGUAGUAACUGACCUUUGUUUGACGGUAAUCAAUUAGAAAGUCACGGCUAACUACGUG
rnacentral:rRNA from 1 species